rnacentral:lncRNA from 1 species
CGUGAUCCCACAAGAUUUGUCUGAGAGCGGCUUAAUGAAAAAAUCUGGAUCAUGAUCAAAGUUGGGAAAAAUGCGUAUCAUUUAACCAAACAUAGUCAAAAAUUGUUAAAUAAUACAAGGAAAAAAAUUACACCAGAAAAAUUUCUUAGAAUGGGUCCCUCUUUUAUUCAAAAUCGUACAUUAAGUGGUGCCAGUGACGAAUCAAUUAAAGAAGUGAUCAAAACUCAAAUUCCUGUUGGCUUAAAUUUGAAGUGUAGUUGUGGAUGCAAUGUCUGUUUCAAUCAACCCAAGGGUGAGCACGUGUUUUCAACAAACUCUUUUCACUUCCGGUGGUGAUUACGCAAUUAUUCCAUUUAGAAUUCAAAUCAAAAAUUUUUAACUUUGUAUAAAUUUUAAAAAAAUUUUGUUAUCUUUUAUAAUUCUUUAAGUGAUGAUAAAUCAUUUAGGGAAAAUUAUUAAAUUCUUUAUCCUUAUUUAAUGUCAUACAGCUACCAGUUUUCUUUUAUAUACGAAAUCCUCCA